AGUGAACGCUGGCGGUAGGCCUAACACAUGCAAGUCGAACGGCAGCACAGUAAGAGCUUGCUCUUACGGGUGGCGAGUGGCGGACGGGUGAGGAAUACAUCGGAAUCUACUUUUUCGUGGGGGAUAACGUAGGGAAACUUGCGCUAAUACCGCAUACGACCUACGGGUGAAAGCAGGGGAUCUUCGGACCUUGCGCGAUUGAAUGAGCCGAUGUCGGAUUAGCUAGUUGGCGGGGUAAAGGCCCACCAAGGCGACGAUCCGUAGCUGGUCUGAGAGGAUGAUCAGCCACACUAGAACUGAGACACGGUCCAGACUCCUACGGGAGGCAGCAGUGGGGAAUAUUGGACAAUGGGCGCAAGCCUGAUCCAGCCAUACCGCGUGGGUGAAGAAGGCCUUCGGGUUGUAAAGCCCUUUUGUUGGGAAAGAAAAGCAGCAGGUUAAUACCCCGCUGUUCUGACGGUACCCAAAGAAUAAGCACCGGCUAACUUCGUG
rnacentral:rRNA from 1 species